AGUUGAGCGGAGAUAUAUGGAGCUUGCUUUAUAUAACUUAGCAGCGAACGGGUGAGUAACACGUAGAUAAUCUAUCCUAUACUGGGGGAUAGCCCGAUGAAAGUUGGAUUAAUACCGCAUAUAGCUAUAUAGUUGCAUGAUUAUGUAGUGAAAGAUUUAUUGGUAUAGGAGGAGUCUGCGGCACAUUAGCUAGUAGGUGAGGUAAAGGCUUACCUAGGCGACGAUGUGUAGCCGGUCUGAGAGGAUGAACGGCCACAAUGGAACUGAGACACGGUCCAUACUCCUACGGGAGGCAGCAGUGGGGAAUAUUGCACAAUGGGGGAAACCCUGAUGCAGCAACGCCGCGUGAGUGAAGAAGGUUUUCGGAUUGUAAAGCUCUGUUAGCAGGGAAGAGGAAGGACGGUACCUGCAGAGGAAGCCACGGCUAACUACGUGCCAGCAGCCGCGGUAAUACGUAGGUGGCAAGCGUUGUUCGGAAUAACCGGGCGUAAAGGAUGCGUAGGCGGUUAAACAAGUUAUAUGUUAAAUAUAUAGGCUUAACCUGUAGAAAGCAUAUAAAACUGUUUAACUAGAGUGCAGGAGAGGUAAGUGGAAUUCCUAGUGUAGCGGUGAAAUGCGUAGAGAUUAGGAAGAACACCAGUGGCGAAGGCGACUUACUGGACUGUAACUGACGCUGAGGCAUGAGAGCAUGGGGAGCAAACAGGAUUAGAUACCCUGGUAGUCCAUGCUGUAAACGAUGGGUACUAGGUGUGGGUUGUGAAUAACAAUUCGUGCCGUCGCAAACGCAAUAAGUACCCCGCC
rnacentral:rRNA from 1 species